UCCUCUUUACAGAGGCAGUUCGUUCCGAGUCCCCGACUUUACUCGCUGGUAACAGAACGUGAGGGUUGCGCUCGUUGCGGGACUUAACCCAACAUUUCACAACACGAGCUGACGACAGCCAUGCACCACCUGUGCAUCACCUUCGAAAGCGGCUCCGUUUCGGGAGCUUGCAGAUGCAUGUCAAGCCCUGGUAAGGUUCUUCGCGUUGCAUCGAAUUAAGCCACAUGCUCCACCGCUUGUGCGGGCCCCCGCCAAUUCCUUUGAGUUUCAACCUUGCGGCCGUAGUCCCCAGGCGGUUCACUUAAUGCGUUAGCUGCGGCACCGAGGGAAACCCCCGACACCUAGUGCCCAACGUUUACGGCAUGGACUAC
rnacentral:misc_RNA from 1 species